UCCCAAAUAGCUCAGUAGUAAAGAAUCUGCCUGCCAAUGCAGGAGAUGCAGAAGACUUGGGUUCAAUCCCUGGGUUGGGAA
rnacentral:tRNA from 1 species